rnacentral:rRNA from 1 species
UACGGAGGAUCCAAGCGUUAUCCGGAAUCAUUGGAUUUAAAGGGUCCGUAGGCGGUUUUGUAAGUCAGUGGUGAAAGCCCAUCGCUCAACGGUGGAACGGCCAUUGAUACUGCAAGACUUGAAUUAUUGGGAAGUAACUAGAAUAUGUAGUGUAGCGGUGAAAUGCUUAGAGAUUACAUGGAAUACCAAUUGCGAAGGCAGGUUACUACCAAUAUAUUGACGCUGAUGGACGAAAGCGUGGGGAGCGAACAGG